rfam:Cellulophaga lytica DSM 7489, complete genome.
AUUUAAGAGGAAGGAUUUGACUGAUUGCAACCUCGUAUACUGAUUCUCAGUACUACAAAAAAUGCUAAAACAGAUUUA